rnacentral:lncRNA from 1 species
GGGAUUUGAACCUGAGACCUCAAUAAUAUGUGAGUGAUACUUUGCCACCUUCUCCGAUAGCGGCAACAGCAUUACUCAACCGUCAGAAAUAAUAAUAAACUAAAUCAUACAAAGGGGCAUUGUUCGAAAGAAUAAAUAACACAUAAUUUACUAAACGUGAUAUAAUAAUUAUAAACUGAAUCAUACAAAGGUUAUAUUUGUCUUUUACUAUUUACUUAAUUAAACCUAGAUGAUUAGUUAGUCGUGUGUUAAUAAUUCCUUUAUUAUUUACAAGUAUUAAUCGUACUUAAUUAUUAGUGGAGAAAAAUUAAAAAAUCACCAUUUUUGAAAAAAAUAAAUAAUAGAAUUUUCAAGAAAAAUAAUACAUAUGGAAAACAAUCUACAAUUAUUUUUAAGAGAAUCCUAAAAUAAAUGUAAAAAAAUGAAUAAAAUAUAGUCGAAAAAUAUAAAUAAUAUAAAUUUUGGAACAUAUAAUAUGUGUGGAAACAAAUUUAAUUGUUUUGUAGGAGAAUCCUCAUAUUAAAGGGAAAAAAAAUAAUAAUAAUACUCCCUCCGUCUCACAAAAACAUGAACAUUUUGUUAUUUUGGGGUGUCUCACAAAAACAUGAACAUUUUCAUUUUUAUACAUUAUUUCCUUAUUUUUUAUCCCUCCUUUUCAUACUUAUUCACAAAAAAACCAUCAUGGCCCACCACUACUUUUCCUCAAUUAACUUAUUACUCUCAAAACACUUUAUAAAGUAGGACCCAUUUUCCAUUCACAAUAAUAUUUAACUAACAUUUCUUAAGACCCGUGCCACUUCCAUUUGUUCAUGUUUUUGUGAGACGGAAGGAGUAAUACAAUUUUCGAAAAAAUAAAAUAAAAUUACAGAAGAAAAAAUAACAGAAAGAAUUAAAAUCGAAUAUAAUACUAAAAAACGGAUAAGAUCAUUUUGGAAAGGAUAUUCUAAUGGAAACAAAUCAAAAAGAUUAAAACAAUUUUCGGAAGAAAAAAAAAUUGGCUGAAAAUAGAACCCUCAACAAUCGAACAAAUUUAAAAGAAAACAUAGUCAAUUCAUAAAUUUUCGAAAAAAAUAAAAUAAAAUUCGAAAAACAAAUGAUAUAAAUUAAAAAAAAAAUAUUUUCGAAAAAAAUUUUAUUUUCUGAACAAUAAAAAAUAAUAUAUGCAAAAAUAAUUACUAUAGGAUUAUGUUUACAACAAUUCAUAAUUUCAUCGAAAAAAAUAAAUCUCAGAAAUAAAUAAAUAAAUAAUAAUUUGAAAAAAAUAAUAAAAUUUUCAUUUUUCAGAAAAAAACAAUUUUCGAAUAAACAAAAAAAUAGGGAAAAAAACUAAAAUACUAAAUAAAUAGGAUAAGAUUAGAAGUAGUUGAGGAAUUUAAAAAAUGAUAUUUUAAUAUAAAAAUAACAAAAUUCGAAAAAAACAAUUAAAAUAAUAUAUAUUUUUCAAGAAAAAAAAAUUGGCAAAAAAAACGGCAAACAAUACUGAAAAAAACAAAAAUACAAAAAAAAUUAGAGUAGAUUAUAAAUAUUUGAGAAAUAUAAGGAAAUGAUAUUUUAGUAAAACCAUAAAUUAGCAAAAAACCGGUUCAAUCAAAAAUCCACAUAAAAACCGGUUAAAACCUAGGUGUCUAGACACCUUGGUGUCUAAAAAUCACUACUCAUAAUAAAUAU